GGCCCUGUUCUGACAGCUGCUGCAGAGACCCCAGGCUACAGAUUAGCGUCCACGUUUUGCCCCAAAUCAUCCCAUCCUCCCAGGGUGAAGGAAAUGGCUGCAAUGGAGCUGGCUCAGGGGCCGGUGACCUUCGAGGAGGUAGCUG